CGGACGGGUGAGUAAUGUCUGGGAAACUGCCCGAUGGAGGGGGAUAACUACUGGAAACGGUAGCUAAUACCGCGUAACGUCGCAAGACCAAAGAGGGGGACCUUAGGGCCUCUUGCCAUCGGAUGUGCCCAGAUGGGAUUAGCUAGUAGGUGGGGUAAUGGCUCACCUAGGCGACGAUCCCUAGCUGGUCUGAGAGGAUGACCAGCCACACUGGAACUGAGACACGGUCCAG
rnacentral:rRNA from 1 species